AAUAGCGUAUAUUAAAGUUGUUGCAGUUAAAAAGCUCGUAGUUGGAUUUCUGGUGGGAGCGAUCGGUCUGGCGCUUAGCGCGAGUACUUGCAUCGUCUCCGGCCAUCCUUGGGGAGAGUCUGUCUGGCAUUAGGUUGUCGGGCAGAGGAUCCUCAUCGUUUACUGUGAAAAAAUUAGAGUGUUCAAAGCAGGCUUAUGCCGUUGAAUAUAUUAGCAUGGAAUAAUAAGAUAGGACUUUGGUACUAUUUUGUUGGUUUGCGCACCAAAGUAAUGAUUAAUAGGGACAGUUGGGGGUAUUCGUAUUCCGUUGUCAGAGGUGAAAUUCUUGGAUUUACGGAAGACGAACUACUGCGAAAGCGUUUACCAAGGAUGUUUUCAUUA
rnacentral:rRNA from 1 species